GUGAGGAAUCUUGCGCAAUGGGCGAAAGCCUGACGCAGCAACGCCGCGUGGGUGAUGAAGGCCUUCGGGUCGUAAAACCCUGUCAGGUGGGAAGAAUCGGGCGGGAGCGAAUAACUCCUGCUCCUGACUGUACCACCAGAGGAAGCCCCGGCUAACUCCGUGCCAGCAGCCGCGGUAAUACGGAGGGGGCCAGCGUUGUUCGGAAUCAUUGGGCGUAAAGGGCGCGUAGGCGGCCGGGUAAGUCUGACGUGAAAUCCCUUGGCUCAACCAAGGAACUGCGUCUUAAACUGCUCGGCUGGAGUCCGGGAGAGGGUAGUGGAAUUCCCAGUGUAGCGGUGAAAUGCGUAGAUAUUGGGAGGAACACCGGUGGCGAAGGCGGCUACCUGGACCGGUACUGACGCUGAGGCGCGAAAGCUAGGGGAGCAAACAGGAUUAGAUACCCGAGUAGUCC
rnacentral:rRNA from 1 species